CACGUGACACGGAUACCACAUAAAACAAGCGGUAACACCAUUAUCUGUCUCUCUUUUGCCUGUUUGGCAGUGGUUGUGGUUCCCUGUGGGCUUGACGGACCGGUGACCACGUUCCCACAAGGUUCUCUACAUUCACAGUGAGGUUGCAUUCCUGAGAUGUAUGUAUCCUGUUGUUCCAGAAUGUUGAGUAGACUAGGAAAAAUUGUGUUCUUUAAUAUGUUGUAUUCCCCAUGCUCGUAUUUUUGAAAUUUCAGUGCCACCAAUUAAUGGUUGUCUAUGCUACAUGUAAAGAUGGGUCAUGAGCCUCAGUCAAGAUAGAUUUUCAAGGGGGCUAUCUUAAUUUUGGAACUUUAAUCUUGUAUCUUGUAAUUUUCCCUGAUAUACUCAAGACACAACAAAUGUGUUGUUGCUAAGUAACUCCUUUUUGACCUACUGGAAAGUUUAGAUUUUUUUUUCUUUCUUAUCUUAAAGAAAGGCAAGUUUGAGAUGAAAGCCCCCCAUAAUUAAUUCCCCCAAUACUGCAUAGUAUUGCACAGUUACUUGUUUUGUGCACACACUACAGUAAAACGCAUCCAAUAAAACAUUUGAGUUUGUGUUGAAACUUGUGUGGAGUUUAAUUUGUGAGGUGUUGCAUAAUUUUUCUCAGGGCAGGAUUCCAAUCGGGUGAGUUGAAAAUAAAUGUCAAAUGCAAAGCACAUUUCAGAAUGUCUGUAGAAUAUCACCAAUAUGAACCAACACCAGUGUUGAGCAAAGUAUAAAACUGCUCUUGCAUACAGUAGUUGAAUCAGAUUUAAUGAACUUGAACAAUUCCUCUGAAAUUUUUGUCUUCAAAUAAAAUCAUUUAGCAACUGUUUGGGUUUAUCUUAAUAUGGUGAUAUAAUGCCACAAAGUUAAAAAUUGAUAAUAGUCUUUCAUAGCACGGUACUUACCAUGGGCAAAGGUUAUCCUUUUUUUUUUUUUUAAGAUGAAAUUGAGGAUUUUCCCACAACACACUUCAAGAUAUCUCACAGCACACUGGGAAUUGAGUGAAGUACAAAAACGUCAAUGUUUUAAUUACUGUUCCAUGACUGCAAUGUUCCACUUGCAUUUUUAUUUGUGUGCUCUCCAUUCAAGCCUGUCAGUUCCUUCAGACCUCUUCAUCGUCCAUUCUGUGCGGACGAGGAGGCCGCGCCAGAGUCCACAUUGCUGAGUGUCACGUCCUUGUUCUGCUUAGUGGCUACCUGGUCCAGCGACGUCCCCUCGAAGAGGCGCGCCAUGAAGCCCAGGCCGUUCUUCUUGAUGUACGAUUUGCCAGCAAAGGUGUACAGGACUGGGUUGGCACAGCUACUGAUGAAGGCCAGAGCCGACGUCACAGCGCGACUCGUUUGGUAGAUGUGAUCCAGACUGUGGGGAGAUGCAGCAACUUGAGUCAUGAAGGUCAAAGAGCAGCUCCCCGGGCCCAGCCCCCUCACCACUCGGGAAUCAUCAGGAAUCACGUGGAGCUACUUGAGGGGGGUCUCACGCGCCGGCACACCCAAAAUGCGUCAGCCUAAUAAUGUUUGGAAAAUGUCCUGUAGAACUUCUGUGAUGGCUUUCAGACCCAGAUGCUCUUUGCCAAUCUGUUGGCACAAUUUUGAUUUGAGAGGUCAACAGAGAAAACGAUUGUAAAACGAUUCCUGCUAAUCACAAAGUGAAAACAUUUUCUCUUCCUCGGAGCAUCCUCCAGAGAGUUGAACAGUGUGCUGUUCCAGUGAAUCAAAUGAAGCUUCAAAGAGAAACAAUAGAACGCAAGCUGAAUUUGAAAGGUCAUUGUCAUCAGCAGGUGUGCAGAGCAAUAGUUGGGCGCCAUCAGCUGGUGAUGACUAAAGACUCUUAUUCAAGAACAGUUGGACACAAAAACCUAACAAGACCGACAUGGAAAAAGGGCACAUAGAGAAAACUAAGUCUACCCAAAACGGAAUCAUGAACUCAGCAACACAAGCUUCAAAGUUUUGAUAAGAACAGCUACACAUUUGGUGACUUGAAAAAGCCCGUCAUGGAAAGCACCACUUAAAAGUUGCAGUCAUGGCGCACCUCCAUUAAAUAGCUUGAAUGGUUU